rnacentral:rRNA from 1 species
AUUAGAGUUUGAUCAUGGCUCAGAGUGAACGCUGGCGGCGUGCCUAAUACAUGCAAGUCGAACGAUGAAGCUUCUAGCUUGCUAGAGUGCUGAUUAGUGGCGCACGGGUGAGUAACGCAUAGGUCAUGUGCCUCUUAGUUUGGGAUAGCCAUUGGAAACGAUGAUUAAUACCAGAUACUCCCUACGGGGGAAAGAUUUAUCGCUAAGAGAUCAGCCUAUGUCCUAUCAGCUUGUUGGUAAGGUAAUGGCUUACCAAGGCUAUGACGGGUAUCCGGCCUGAGAGGGUGAACGGACACACUGGAACUGAGACACGGUCCAGACUCCUACGGGAGGCAGCAGUAGGGAAUAUUGCUCAAUGGGGGAAACCCUGAAGCAGCAACGCCGCGUGGAGGAUGAAGGUUUUAGGAUUGUAAACUCCUUUUGUUAGAGAAGAUAAUGACGGUAUCUAACGAAUAAGCACCGGCUAACUCCGUGCCAGCAGCCGCGGUAAUACGGAGGGUGCAAGCGUUACUCGGAAUCACUGGGCGUAAAGAGCGCGUAGGCGGGAUAGUCAGUCAGGUGUGAAAUCCUAUGGCUUAACCAUAGAACUGCAUUUGAAACUACUAUUCUAGAGUGUGGGAGAGGUAGGUGGAAUUCUUGGUGUAGGGGUAAAAUCCGUAGAGAUCAAGAGGAAUACUCAUUGCGAAGGCGACCUGCUGGAACAUUACUGACGCUGAUUGCGCGAAAGCGUGGGGAGCAAACAGGAUUAGAUACCCUGGUAGUCCACGCCCUAAACGAUGGAUGCUAGUUGUUGGAGGGCUUAGUCUCUCCAGUAAUGCAGCUAACGCAUUAAGCAUCCCGCCUGGGGAGUACGGUCGCAAGAUUAAAACUCAAAGGAAUAGACGGGGACCCGCACAAGCGGUGGAGCAUGUGGUUUAAUUCGAAGAUACACGAAGAACCUUACCUAGGCUUGACAUUGAGAGAAUCCGCUAGAAAUAGUGGAGUGUCUGGCUUGCUAGACCUUGAAAACAGGUGCUGCACGGCUGUCGUCAGCUCGUGUCGUGAGAUGUUGGGUUAAGUCCCGCAACGAGCGCAACCCCCUUUCUUAGUUGCUAACAGGUUAUGCUGAGAACUCUAAGGAUACUGCCUCCGUAAGGAGGAGGAAGGUGGGGACGACGUCAAGUCAUCAUGGCCCUUACGCCUAGGGCUACACACGUGCUACAAUGGGGUGCACAAAGAGAAGCAAUACUGCGAAGUGGAGCCAAUCUUCAAAACACCUCUCAGUUCGGAUUGUAGGCUGCAACUCGCCUGCAUGAAGCUGGAAUCGCUAGUAAUCGCAAAUCAGCCAUGUUGCGGUGAAUACGUUCCCGGGUCUUGUACUCACCGCCCGUCACACCAUGGGAGUUGUGUUUGCCUUAAGUCAGGAUGCUAAAUUGGCUACUGCCCACGGCACACACAGC